AUUUCAUCAUGAACUUGGCCUAGCCCUCCACCUAUCUGUCUAGACCCUCUCUGCUUAUCUAUAUAUACAUAUAUAUAUAGUCCUGAUUGCCUCCAACACAAUCCAAUUCAUACCUCUCCAUCUUGUACCCAAAAAACAACUCAUCCCUUCUUUUCCUUUUACGACUACAGCAGCAACGAAGAGAUAAAAUUUAAGAAAAGGAAAGUAUGGACGGAAGCUGCAUAGAUGAGAGUACUACUAGUGACUCCAUAUCCAUAUCCAUAUCCAUUACCCCGAAGUCCGCUGUCUCUUCCUUUCCUCCGCCAACUAAAUCUCCUGAAUCUCCUCUUUGCCGCGUUGGCAGCGGCUCCAGUGUGAUUCUCGAUUCUGAAUCCGGCGUAGAAGCUGAGUCCCGUAAACUCCCUUCCUCUAAAUACAAAGGCGUCGUUCCCCAACCAAACGGCCGCUGGGGCGCCCAGAUUUACGAGAAGCAUCAGCGUGUCUGGCUCGGUACAUUCAAUGAGGAAGACGAGGCUGCCAAAGCCUAUGACAUCGCUGCUCAGAGGUUCCGUGGCCGUGAUGCCAUCACUAACUUCAAGCCUCAGGGUGCUGAAACUGAGGAGGACGAUAUCGAAACCGCUUUCUUGAACUCCCAUUCCAAAGCUGAAGUCGUUGAUAUGCUCAGGAAACACACGUACAACGAUGAACUGGAACAGAGCAAGCGAAACUACAGAAUUGAUGGGCAAGGAAAGCAGCAUCGAAACCCAGGCGCCAAUAAUGUUGCACUCUCUGGGUCGGGACGCGUUCUGAAAGAACGUGAACAGCUUUUCGAGAAAGCGGUGACCCCGAGCGACGUUGGGAAACUGAACCGCUUGGUUAUACCCAAACAACACGCAGAAAAAUACUUCCCUUUACAGAGCGGAAGCAAUAGCACAAAAGGGGUGCUGCUAAAUUUCGAGGAUAUUACAGGCAAAGUGUGGAGAUUUCGCUACUCUUAUUGGAACAGUAGCCAGAGCUAUGUGAUGACCAAAGGUUGGAGCCGGUUCGUCAAGGAAAAGAAGCUUGAUGCAGGCGAUGUCGUGUCAUUUCAGCGAGGCGUUGGCGAGUCAGGGAAGCAUCAUUUAUACAUAGACUGGAGACGCAGGCCUAAUGCACCAGAUCCAACAUUGUUUGCACAUUUAGAGCUGCAAAAUCAGCUACGCUUCCAACAGUCGGUGAGUUGGGGUAGGCUCUACUCGCUGCCUCAGCCUUUGUCGUCUAUUCCACGACCAUAUGAACAACCUCAAUUCCAGCAUUUGAGUUACAGUAUUCAUCAUCAUCAUCAACCUUAUCAUCAAUAUCAUUAUCAUCAACAGGCGCAGCAUUACUUAAGACCAGCAGGGGCACUUCCAAUUGGGGCAGUGUAUCAACAAGGAGGGGAUCAAGCACCAGCGGUGGUUGAUUCAGUUCCAGUUGUUCACGGAAGAAGUGUGGGAAAGCGGUUGAGGCUUUUCGGUGUAAACAUGGAGUGUCCAGCACAAGAUGAUCAGUCUUCUUCUUCUUCUCCUCCUUCUUCUUGUUCUUUUGUUACCCUACCAGCACAUGGAAGUACUACAACCAUGAGUUCGUUCUCGCCUUUUUUAGCUUCCUCACCUCUUCAGCCUCCCCAGUCAAGGGUACACAGUAGUUCAAUGCCAACAACGCAAGAAGCUGAGUUUUCAAAGAAAGGAAAGACCUCCUUAUCUUUUGAUUUGGAUCUUUGAUGAUCACACUUACAUCGAUCAAGUGAAGAAGCAAGAGAUAUAUAUACACCAUUUCUUUUGUUAGUAGCGGUACUCCACAUCUAAUUUUGCCAUAUGGGUACUGAAUAUUCAUAAAAAUUUCAGUUUUUUUUAGGGGGGGUUUCUUAAUUUCCCCUCCUUCAUUUAAUCUGUUCUAAUCAUUACUACAUCAUCAGUUUACCUGAGAUUGAGAUUCGUGGAGAGCUAGCAAAAGAGCUAGCAGUGCAAUAUAUAUAUAUGUGGAGUUGAAAAUAUCCCUUUUUAUUCCUUUUUUUUUUUUUCUUACAGUGUAUAAUUAUUACACAUAUAUACAAAUAAUUAAAAAUGAGCACAUUUUCAUCAUGCUAAUUUCAUUGAUUGACAUUUUUUUUCCUUUAGUAGAGACUGGAUUUGCCUAUAACUGCAUACAAGGUGGAUGGUGUCUUCCCAUUAGUUUGUUUGGGUUACAUUUGUUUCCUCUCCUUAGAUAUCAACUGUACUUUCUCUCUUUCUCUGUGACAGUGAUCUUAUGGUACAUUGGAAGAGGAUGAAUGGAAAUAUAUAUAUGCAUAUAUAGAGAGAGUGCAGUAGUCUCUUUCUUCUUUCUCUAUCUUUUGUUCCUAUUACCUUACUAGGAUAAUAUUGUAGCUGGCUGCUGCUACUACUGCUGCUAUUGCUUAGUUAGGUGAUGUGCAGAAAAGUUUUCAGCGCUGCAAAAGCACACAUUCUUGUCCGGAUAAAUUGGAGCACACCCAUAAAAAGUCCUCUAUCCUGAAAGUUAAUUUCUCAAAAAUCAGGUAUAUCCUUAUUCAAUACUGGAUUCCACUCAAACUUUUGUUUAGUGCCUUUUGAACUUCACUUACUUACUGAAAAUCUUUUGUAAUGAAUUCUCUCUCUAUUUACAUGAAGGUUGAAUUGAACAUCUUAUGGUUAAUUAAGACUUCACCUAGGCUUACCACUACCAAGCUAUUUACAUUGGCUGUGUUGCCUAUUGAAUUAGUAACUGGAAUCUUUAGUCUAUGCAUAGUGUUUAUAAUAAAUAUAUAUAAGCAAGAGAGUUAUAUCUUCCAUAAAUUUUCCAAUUCUAUGGUACAAAUCUUUACUGCAUCUAACAACCUUCUAAUUAAGAAGGAAUUUAAAUUAUUUUUUUUUUCUUCGGGCGAAUAGCAUUCUAAAGCUUUGUUGCUUUAAGCAAAUCAAUCAGAAGCUCCAAGGAAACUUCGUCUGUAGUCAAGCCCAUCAUGUUGAAGUUGGAAUUUCCCUUCAUGGAUAGAACUCCUACAAGUCUUCUUUUAUGGUAUGUGUAUACUAUUUACAACCAGAUUUCAUGAUAAAGAGAAUAGCAAGAGCUUAAAUUAAAUAGAAUUUAAAAAGGGAAAAGGGUCCAAAACUUAAUUUUUGGAUUGAAUAAUAUACAUAUCCUUCAACUCCACAUAUGUAUAUACCGAUAGGUGAUAUAUUAUAUGUUUUCUAAUAAUGUCUGAUUAACAAAAUCAACUGAAGUAAAAUAACAAGAAAGAGAAAAAAUUAAUGAAAACACUUUUUGAUUUAAUUUAAUUUCUUCCACUAUCUGGGCUACCAAAUGAAGGGCAUAAAUAUGCAUGUGAUAAAUACAUAAACAAAGCUCUUGGAACUCUAAAACAUAUGUUUGAUUGAUGUAUGACUUUGUAUGCUUGUAGAUAUAUGCUUUAUCGAUACAAACAAUAUAUAGUGAUGAUUUAGAAAAUUUAUUUUAUUCAUUAUUUUAAAAAAUUAAAGAAGUAUUAAUUAUUUUUCUUAAACUUUAUUUUUAUCUAUUAUUCUCAAUAUAUUUAUUUCUUUUUAUCACCUUUCCAUAGUCUAAGGGUAUUUUAAUUAAUUAUUAGUUUUUUUAUAAAAAUAUUAUUUUUUUAAUAUUUAUGUAAAAUUAAAAAAAAAAUACUUAAAAUGAAACAAAGAGAGUAUUUAUUAGCAAUCUUUAUAUUUAGGUGAGAAUUUUGGACAGAAAAAAAAUGUAAUUCCAAUGAUGUUUGAAUUUGAAACUGCAUGAACUAAUCAAAUUUGGGCUACUGAUUAUUGACUUGAAUAUGUUGUUGAAUGCAAGGCAAAUAAUUAACAACUUCUAUGUGGACAAGUUUAUUUAAUUUUAGCCAACAAAAACGGCAUGUGUGGGGCCUUGAUCAUGAUUUCUAUGCUGAAGUAGCCAAUCAAUUCAUAUAAAAGGGUAAGACUUAUCCAUUAUUGACUAUUCACUUUCCACAUUAUUGUAGCUAAAAUAGUGACAUUAUAUGGUUAUAAAUAAAAAAAAAAAAAUUAAUUGACACUAAUUAGCCAAAAAAUGCACAGUAUGCCAAAGUUAAAUUACUGCAGCAUGUGACAGUUGAUUGAAUGUUUUUCCAAUUUUACUGGAAUAUGGUGAGGUUAAUAUUUUUUUUUUUAAAGUUUUAAAUUUGAAUGGUCUUUAUUUUCAAUUUGAUAUUUUGUUAAAAUUUUAUGAUUCUUAACAUAAAUUUAUAUUUAUUUUAUGUUUGUCCACUGAUUAAAUUAAUACAGAAAAAUAAGAUAGUUUGAAACCCUGGAGGAUUUAUGUUUUUAAUUAGGAGUGGUGCAGUUCAGCUUGGCUUAUUUACUGUACUUGCUCAUGAAGGCAAUGCUAAGUGAGAUGUA
rnacentral:misc_RNA from 1 species